rnacentral:rRNA from 1 species
AUUGAACGCUGGCGGCAGGCCUAACACAUGCAAGUCGAACGAGUGGCGGACGGGUGAGUAAUGUCUGGGAAACUGCCCGAUGGAGGGGGAUCACUACUGGAAACGGUAGCUAAUACCGCAUACCAUCGGAUGUGCCCAGUUGGGAUUAGCUAGUAGGAGGGGUAACGGAUCACCUAGGCCACGAUCCCUAGCUGGUCUGAGAGGAUGACCAGCCACACUGGGACUGAGACACGGCCCAGACGCCUACGGGAGGCAGCAGUGGGGAAUUUUGGACAAUGGGGGAAAGCCUGAUCCAGCCAUCCCGCGUGUGCGAUGAAGGCCUUCGGGUUGUAAAGCACUUUUAGCAGGAAAGCGGUACCUACAGAAUAAGCACCGGCUAACUUCGUGCCAGCAGCCGCGGUAAUUC